rnacentral:rRNA from 1 species
UACGAAGGGUGCAAGCGUUUAAUCGGAAUUACUGGGCGUAAAGCGUGCGUAGGCGGUUUGUUAAGUCUGUUGUGAAAUCCCCGGGCUCAACCUGGGAAUGGCAAUGGAUACUGGCAGGCUAGAGUGUGUCAGAGGAUGGGUGGAAUUCCCGGUGUAGCGGUGAAAAUGCGUAGAGAUCGGGAGGAACAUCAGUGGCGAAGGGCGG